AUAAUGAGUAGAAUUAAAAUGUCAGAAUUUGAGAGGUAGAACUACCCUAGGUUUCAUUUAGCACAACGAAAACAUGUCAUAAAUAAAUACAAAUGAUAAGUGAUUUGCCCAGUGUCAUAAAGAUACUUAGUGGCAGAAGAAAAUUUUAACUCCAAAUUUCUGACCUCUUUUUCUGUUCCAUAAUACUCCUAUAUUUUGAGUAUGAAAUUUUGAAUAAAUAUGAGGCUAAGACACAUUUGUUAAUUUCUCUUAAUGUGCAAUCAGGAAAUUGAAAUAAGGGCUUUCAAUAAGCAAACACAGCUCCUAGUAACAUGACCAAAGAGCCUUAUAAUACUUUUACCAUGAUGUGGUAUCCAUACCUCCCCAGCUUAUUUUCUUUGGAUCUCAAAAUGGAUACUUUGCCUGUCUCCUAUUGCUAUUAAUUGCCACAUACAUCUCUUUGUGUGAUUUGCUUGGCAGCCCUGAAAACAGCUGGCUGUCUGGUUGGAUCAGUCCCCCGUGGCAAACUCAGGACUCUGCGUUCCCAGUACUGGCUCACAGAAUCUGGUUGAAUCACCCACAGCAUGAUGCACUAGGAAGGCCCUGGCCCUCACCAGAUCCCAGUGCCAUGCUCUUGGACUUCUCAGCCUGCAAAACGGACUGCUUACUUUUUAAUGGAUUGCUGGACAUUAUGCAGAACACACUGUGAAAUAAUUUGCAUCACUGGAUGAUGUACUCUUGAGGGAAUUUACAUUGAUUCUGGCAGGCAGUGAUAUUCAAGAAUCUGAAGCCCCUUACCUUAAUGUGUGUGAUGAGAUUGACAGGAAAAGGAAGCUGGACUUGUGAGGAUGGAAGGGAUCUGAGAAGACCGGAAGAACAAUGGUGAAGUAAAGUAGAAAAAGUGAGAACACUGGGUGGUCCAGUCUGAUGGAGAUUCAUCUGGAUGCAAAAUGUGAAGACAAGCCUUCAGUUCCCUUCUUGACCACCAGCAUGGAACUAAACAAUUAAACCUGUCAGAAAAAAAAAAGCUGCUGUAUUUUAAGGUAACAGAGACAUGGACUUUUUAAGGUAACAGAGACAUGGACUUGAGAAGACAACUUGGCUCAAUUCCUAGCUCUGCAACUUACUUACUAGGUUUGUGUCUUUGGACUGCAUCCUAACAAACAACUGUGUCAAGACAUUUGAACAGCAUAUUCUACACAAAUAAAAAGGAAAUGAUAAAGAUAAAAGAAAUUAAUAGAAUGGAAAGUGAUGGAGAUAAACAAGUGAAAAGAUGGUCCUUUGAAAAGACUAAAACAUGGCCAAUGCACUGGCAAGAAUGAUUGGGACAAUAAACAAAAUAUAUAUGCCAGGGCAGCUCCCGGCGAGAUCGACGCAAAAGAUGCCAUCAAAGUUAACCAAUUUCAACCAUUAAUUUAUUCCAUAGUGCUCAUGAAGUUUUACACAGUGCCAUAUUGAGAAGCAAGACAUCUGAUGAUGGAGCAGAGUUCCUUUGUGACUAGAAGAGAUAAAAUCCUUAUAAAAUGCAGAAGACUUGUCAAAAUUAUUUUUUAUCUUAUACUAAAUUAUAGUCUGUAAAGAAAAUCCACACAGAGUAAAAGAUAAACGGUAUGACUUAGGCACAAAGUCAAUUACAUCAUGAAUACAAAGAAAUUCAUUAAUAUUAUUACUGAAUUCCAUAGUAAAUAUGAAGUGGUCAGAUAUGCUGCAUAGGGGGAUGCAACUGACUGGUAGUUUUCUCCUCUAAAUUUGUUGUACUUUUCUCCCUGGUCAUAUAGGCUAACCCAAUUGAAGACAAUAUUCCCAGCCUCCUUUGUAGGUAGCCAUGUUUGGACACUCAACUAAAUUCUUGCUAAUAAAAUAUAAGCGUAAACAAUUUUUUCUGAAUCUGAACUUUCCCUAUUUCCUAUUCCCUUUUGGUUAAAGCCAAAUGAGGCAGUGAACAACUAUGACCAUGCAGAAGAAAUCUAUAUGCUAGGGAAUGAUGCUACACCAGUGUCGAAAGUAUCUACACCACUGUAUACCAUGAUUGAGCUGAGCCACACCUUUAGCCUAUUGAGCUCAUCUGAGAAAUAAAUAUGCUUUUGUC
rnacentral:lncRNA from 1 species